rnacentral:pre_miRNA from 7 species
UUACUUGUAGACAGGAUAUGAAAGAUUCUCGAAUUCCCGGCCCAUGUACCAAAUGAAAGACCCUCGAGGGAAGACCCUCACUCAGACACUCAAGUCCCGGGACAGCCGCGUACCCAAGAAGACACUGAGACCA